AAGGGCGUGCUAAUCUGCGAUAAGCGCCGGUAAGGUGAUAUGAACCGUUAUAACCGGCGAUACCCGAAUGGGGAAACCCAGUGUGAUUCGUCACACUAUCAUUAACUGAAUCCAUAGGUUAAUGAGGCGAACCGGGGGAACUGAAACAUCUAAGUACCCCGAGGAAAAGAAAUCAACCGAGAUUCCCCCAGUAGCGGCGAGCGAACGGGGAGGAGCCCAGAGCCUGAAUCAGCAUGUGUGUUAGUGGAAGCGUCUGGAAAGGCGCGCGAUACAGGGUGACAGCCCCGUACACAAAAGCGCAUGUGCUGUGAGCUCGAUGAGUAGGGCGGGACACGUGGUAUCCUGUCUGAAUAUGGGGGGACCAUCCUCCAAGGCUAAAUACUCCUGACUGACCGAUAGUGAACCAGUACCGUGAGGGAAAGGCGAAAAGAACCCCGGCGAGGGGAGUGAAAAAGAACCUGAAACCGUGUACGUACAAGCAGUGGGAGCCCCACCACUAAGCCAGUGGUGAACUCCACAUACGCAUCCUUUGCUGAGGAUACGGUUAACGGAGCGAAAGCGACGUUCAACCGCAAAAGAAGCAGAGGGGGCUUAGUGGUGGGGUGACUGCGUACCUUUUGUAUAAUGGGUCAGCGACUUAUAUUCUGUAGCAAGGUUAACCGUAUAGGGGAGCCGCAGGGAAACCGAGUCUUAAUUGGGCGUUAAGUUGCAGGGUAUAGACCCGAAACCCGGUGAUCUAGCCAUGGGCAGGUUGAAGGUUGGGUAACACUAACUGGAGGACCGAACCGACUAAUGUUGAAAAAUUAGCGGAUGACCUGUGGCUGGGGGUGAAAGGCCAAUCAAACCGGGAGAUAGCUGGUUCUCCCCGAAAGCUAUUUAGGUAGCGCCUCGUGAAUUCAUCUCCGGGGGUAGAGCACUGUUUCGGCUAGGGGGCCAUCCCGGCUUACCAACCCGAUGCAAACUGCGAAUACCGGAGAAUGUUAUCACGGGAGACACACGGCGGGUGCUAACGUCCGUCGUGAAGAGGGAAACAACCCAGACCGCCAGCUAAGGUCCCAAAGUCAUGGUUAAGUGGGAAACGAUGUGGGAAGGCCCAGACAGCCAGGAUGUUGGCUUAGAAGCAGCCAUCAUUUAAAGAAAGCGUAAUAGCUCACUGGUCGAGUCGGCCUGCGCGGAAGAUGUAACGGGGCUAAACCAUGCACCGAAGCUGCGG
rnacentral:rRNA from 1 species